ACAAGGCCAAGGUCACAAGGGAGGUGUGAUUAUGGAAAACUCUAGAAUGGGACAGUCAGAAGAACGAUAGGGGUAAAUGGGAAACAACCCAAUUGAUACCCCCUAAUUUUUUACACUCACACCAUGUUCUCCAACCACCCACACACAUUAAGGAGAGUUUAUCAAGCAUCCUGUCAGAUCAACACAUACCCACGGGGGUAACCCCUAGUCUUAAUUCUGGUUGUUUUAAAGAUUUCUCUAUAUGGUAACACCAAUAUGCUAUGUUCGAUACUGACCAACAAUGAC